UACGUAGGUGGCAAGCGUUGUCCGGAUUUAUUGGGUUUAAAGGGUGCGUAGGCGGCCCUGUAAGUCAGUGCUGAAAUAUCCCGGCUUAACCGGGAGGGUGGCAUUGAUACUGCAGGGCUUGAGUACAGAUGAAGUAGGCGGAAUUGACGGUGUAGCGGUGAAAUGCAUAGAUAUCGUCAAGAACACCGAUAGCGAAGGCAGCUUACGUACGCUGAUAACUGACGCUGAGGCACGAAAAGUGUGGGAGUCAAACAGGGAUUAGAACGUACCUUCGUAG
rnacentral:rRNA from 1 species